GGUUCCAUAGUGUAGCGUUAGCAUGUCUGCUUUAUACGCAGAAGGUCUUGGGUUUGUGCCCCAGUGGAGCCU
rnacentral:tRNA from 1 species